AUGCAUUCAAUAAUGAAAACUAAAUUUAACAAUUAAACUCAUCCACCGAAACUCCAAAACCCUAGGAACCCCUUGACGAUUACAAUCAAAUCAUAAAAUCAAGCAUAUGAAGAGAAGACCAAAAGUCUUAUACCACCAUGAAGACAAAAAACUAGUGAUUUUGAGAUCUCUACGAGGCUCCAAAAUAGAAGCCCUCCAAUGGUGAUACACACAGGAUUGAUCAGGGCCCUUCCCAACUCGUCAUGGUGCUGCAGCCUUCUUCGCAAGUGUACUGCCGACCGUCCUUCACAAAAGUAGAUUGCACCAUUGCUUGUUUGCCUUUAUGACCUCUACUACGACCACUCUAGGAAUCCUUUUCUAAAGUAUCAAAUCACACUCUAAUCAGAUUUUAUGUUCAACACAUGAACAAUCUGAAUUUUUGGACAAGUAUCUCAUACUUUCCAUUUCUCUUCCUCUCUUCUUUUCUAUUUUUUCUUCCCUUAUCCUUGUCUUUAUCCAGACAUUUUUCUCUCACUUUUCUCUCAUCUUCACACUAAUUCCCAGC
rnacentral:lncRNA from 1 species